UACGAAGGGGGCUAGCGUUGCUCGGAAUCACUGGGCGUAAAGCGCACGUAGGCGGACUCUUAAGUCGGGGGUGAAAUCCUGGAGCUCAACUCCAGAACUGCCUUCGAUACUGAGAGUCUUCGAGUUCGGGAGAGGUGAGUGGAACUGCGAGUGUAAGAGGUGAAAUUCGUAGAUAUUCGCAAGAACACCAGUGGCGAAGGCGGCUCACUGGCCCGGUACUGACGCUGAGGUGCGAAAGCGUGGGGAGCAAACAGG
rnacentral:rRNA from 1 species